ensembl:lncRNA
CUCCCUGACCACACUCCCAAGGCUCCUUCUAAAGUGAUGGUUUUUUAAUGGGCCUGAGAGAAGCGUACAAUCCCAUCAAGACAAAUGAAUCAAAUUUGGAAACAAAGCUCCAUGGCUGGGUCACUUCCUCUGACUUGGUGAAUGGGAUGAGGUAUAAUGACAGAAAAACAAAUGAAUAGCAAGAAGCCAUCAGUACAUUGACCUCCCACAUGACUCUGGCAGGCUUCAGAGAGGAACCCAGAGAGAAGGGAGUAUGUGAAGGCGCUCUUGUAGCCUGGAGGAAGGCAGGAGGGGGACCUGCCUGAGUCUGGACUUUGAUAUCAGCCUGAGAGAAAUCUCAGCUCAUCCCCCAAUAUCAGGAAAAGGACAUAAAUUAAAAUUCACAAAGGGAAGGAUGUAUGAGGCAAUGUCCAGGAGAAACCAGAUACAAGCUUCUAGGCUCUCAGUGGAGUUGCAUAUUAACACAAUUAAUUCUCCCAGCAAUUAUACAUGACCAUACACGUGACAUAUUCUCAACAGGGAGGCUUACUGCUGCAUGGUAUUGGACUUUUUAUUUGGGGGUUGUUUACCUGGUGGCUCAGACAAUAAAGAAGCUGUGGCAAUGCAGAACACCCAGGUUCAAUUCCUGGGUCAGGACAAUCCCUCAAGAAGCGAAUGGCAACCCAAUCCUGUAUUCUUGCCUGGAGAAUUCCAUUGACAAAGGAACCUGGCAUUUAUAUUCCGUGAUGUUGCAAAGAGUCGGAACCAACUGAGUGACUAACACUUUCACUUUUCU